UACGCACGCAAUCACGCAUGGACGUACACGGGCUCCGGGCUGAAUUUCAAGGGUUUUCUAUUCAGCAUCAGUUUUUCCUUUUAGAUAAUACCGAUGUUCACAGUUCACACAACAGUGGUACUUGGUGCACUCCUCUGCUAACUCUCUCACUAUACAUUACAUUGUGAAUUAUCCAUAUCGUAUAUUUUAAGAAAUGGCCUUCCACAGCACAUGUUGUGAAAACCAAAACUUUAGCUAGGCAUGGUGGUACAUUCCUGUAAUACCAGAACCUGUAAAGUGGUGGCUGGGGAUUCAGGAGUUCAAGGCCAUGGCUGGAGAGUGAGUUCAAGACCAAUCUUAAGACUGUUUCACGCUGACCUCUGUAUGACCCAGACCACGUGCCUUUCCAAGUGUCCAGGACAGAAGUCAAAGACGGAGACUUACUAGGGUGCAAGCAGGUACAGGGUAGCCUGGGAUGCUGGACGUCGAGCCUGUGACAUAGGGUGCUACCCGACCAAGCUUACUGACAGCUGAGGUUUGAGGUCAGAGGCUGCAUUGUCACGUGUCCUUCAAAAUGUCAAAGCGAGCAGACUUAUUUGCUAAGGCGUGUGCGUGCAGAGCGACAGAUUCAGCUUCGUGUUUCAG